rnacentral:rRNA from 1 species
AUUGAACGCUGGCGGCAGGCCUAACACAUGCAAGUCGAACGAGUGGCGGACGGGUGAGUAAUGUCUGGGAAACUGCUUUAUGGCGGGGGAUAACUACUGGAACCGGUAGCUAUUACCGCAUACCAUCGGAUGUGCCCAGAUGGGAUUAGCUAGUAGGUGGGGUAAAGGCUCACCUAGGCGACGAUCCCUAGCUGGUCUGAGAGGUUGACCGGCCACACUGGAACUGAGACACGGUCCAGACUCCUACGGGAGGCAGCAGUGGGGAAUAUUGCACAAUGGGCGAAAGCCUGAUGCAGCCAUGCCGCGUGUGUGAAGAAGGCCUUCGGAUUGUAAAAUACUGUCAGCGGGGAGGCGUUACCCGCAGAAGAAGCACCGGCUAACUCCGUGCCAGCAGCCGCGGUAAUUC